rnacentral:rRNA from 1 species
UACAGAGGGUGCUAGCGUUAAUCGGAUUUACUGGGCGUAAAGCGUGUGUAGGCGGUUCGUUAAGUCGGGUGUGAAAUCCCUGGGCUCAACCCGGGAAUUGCAUUCGAUACUGGCGAGCUAGAGUACGGUAGAGGCGGCGGAAUUCCGGGUGUAGCGGUGAAAUGCGUAGAUAUCCGGAGGAACACCGAUGGCGAAGGCAACCGCCUGGGCCUGUACUGACGCUGAGACACGAAAGCGUGGGGAGCAAACAGG